rnacentral:lncRNA from 1 species
GGGCAACGGCGGCGGGAAAGGCAUCCGCAGCAGGCGCCUCGCCGGGGUGCGCGGGGGAGGACUUGCGCGGGUACGCCGCGGAACCGCCGAAGAGGUGGUGCGCGGGGCUUAGGCUCGACCAUGGGGAGGAGGUGGGGCAUGCCGGACGUGGAGGGGAGGUGCACUGGGGUGCGGGGGAGGAGGAGGUGGAGGACGAGUGGGGAGUGCUCAAUAAAUGAGGGCAAAUCAGUCUUUGUUUGAUGAAGGAUUAAAAUUUAGCUCAUGGAUCCAAAUAGGUGGGCAGAACUAAAGUUUAGGAGCUAAAAUUUAGGGGCUAAAGUUUAGCCCAUGAACUAGUGAUCCAAACACCACCUUAGUUCAUAGAUAAAAUAGCUCACAUAAAGCAUAGUUUCAUCUUUUGCUAUUUCCAUGGCUAUAUGCAAGAUACAAAGAUAUUGGAAAUAGUGUACACAUGAUUUCAUCCUAUGAAAUAAUGUUCUUCUCUAACCUCAUAAGUAGCGUGCCAUGUCAUCAAAAUUAACUAUGGCAGCUCAUUUAUGGUCAAUUUCGUUGAAAAUGGCCUAAUCGUCUCUCGGUCUUUGGGGAAAAAAAGAACAGUAGUGCACCUACUUUUUACCGAGGUAAAUCACCAGAAAAAAAAGACUCCUCGUCAGCUAAACAUGUGCAGCAGUAGGAACGUGGUCGAAUUAGUUGUCAAUAAAAGCCACCUACGGGAAUCCUGCCGUCUAAGUUAGGCACACCUGGUCUCGGGUAGCUGCACGCUCGUACGUAU